GCCAGGCGUGGUGGCGGGCGCCUGUAAUCCCAGCUACUUGGGAGGCUGAGGCAGGAGAAUCGCUUGAAUCUGGGAGGCGGAGAUUGCAGUGAGCCGAGAUCCCGCCACUGCACUCCAGCCCAGGUGACAGAGCGAGACUCCAUCUCAA
rfam:Pan troglodytes isolate Yerkes chimp pedigree #C0471 (Clint) chromosome 16, whole genome shotgun sequence.